rnacentral:rRNA from 1 species
UACGUGAGGGACCGAGCGUUGUCCGGAAUCAUUGGGCGUAAAAGGAGCGUGUAGGCGGCCUUUUAAGUCCUGCGUGAAAUCCUGCGGCUCAACCGCAGACCGGUUCGUGGGAAACUGGAAGGCUAGAGUGCGGGAGAGGAGAGUGGAAUUCCCGGUGUAGCGGUGAAAUGCGCAGAUAUCGGGAAGACACCCGUGGCGAA